CAUAGCGCCAAAAUCAGCCCCGCCGUCACGCUGCCCCGGUGGGAUUCCUCGUCGCUCACACAAACAGUUCUUGAUUUCUCUCCCUUUCUGAUGUCUCCGGUGCGAAUUCUGGUCAUGUAUAAUGGCGAUUGAAUUUUUAGUGAGAAUGGUUUUGAAUCCAAUGGUGACGAACUAAAAGGAAUCAUCGUCGAUGAGAAAAUUACGUAUAUCGAUCUUUUGGACAAAGUCUAUGAUAUUGUCAAAGUUGACCCAGGUGAAUUUGUGGCCACAAUGAAAUGUUUAUAUAAAGCUCAUGUUUCAACUCCACAAACAGAGAUAUUAGACAAUGAAGAUGUCGAGUUUUUCAUUGGUGAGAAUCUUGUAGACGACCGUGGCCGGAGAACACCCUUGUGCAUCACUAUCAAACGUAGAGAAUCACUAGAUCAAGGGGAGGAGGUACGUUCCUACUGCACAAAAGUCUGAAAUUCCUCCCUUUCUUGCUCUUACUGAAAUUGUAGAACAAAACACAACUUCCAUAAGCUGUGGUCCUCAGACAGACUUGAAUUGUGAUGGUGAGAUGCAAAAUGUUGAUCAACAUCAACAUGAUGAUUGUAAUGAUGAUAGAGGACAUGAUACUGAGGUAGAAAACAAACAUAUGCAAGACGAGACUUACGGUUGUAGCGAUGAGAUUCAUCCCCAUACCUCGAAUGAUAUGUAUUUUGAUAGUCUUACCAUCCGAAAUAGCAGAAAAGACGUCCAAGAAUAUGUAACAUCUGAUCCAUUGAACUCGAGCAUUCAACCGUGCUUGUAUUCUGAGCGGCUGAACACUGAUGUACCAAAAGCUUAACUAUUGAGCAGUUGAUGUCGGGUGAUACUAUAGCAGUGGGUCAGACUUACCCAAGCAAGAAGGAUGUACAGAGCAAGUUAAGUCUUAUGGCUAUAAGGGGAAAUUUCGAGUUCAAGUAAGGCGUUCGACAAGAGAUUUAUUGUUCGUUAUAUGUGCAGACAAAAGCUGUAAGUGGCGACUUCGUGCUUCUUGAUAAGAUGAACGAUUUGGACUGCUUCUUGAUAACAAAGUUCCACACUGUCCAUACUUGUUUGACAGAGAAGGUUCAUUGCAACCAUCAUCAAGCCAGUAGUUGGGUUGUUGGUCAGCUGAUUAAGUCCAAGUUUGAGGAAGGUGCAUCUGAUUAUAUAGACCAAAUGACAUAAUCAAGGAUGUAGAGGAACAACUUGGAUUUACUAUAUCUUAUAAUAAAGCUUGGAGGGCACGGGAAAUUGCUUUUCGAUGCCUAAAGAGAUCCCGGGAUCGAGAGAGGCGGUCUCGGGGGAGGCCAAGGAAUCAAUUUACGAAGAGUCGUCUCUACGAUUGUGUGGGACGUGUGGUGGUCGUGGCCACAAUAGAAAAACUUGUAGGACUCUUCUUGUUUUGCAGUGAAGUGCUAGAGAACUGGGAGUUGAUGAAAGAGUAACACCAUGAAUCCCAAACCAAAAUUUAUUUAGGAUAUGUCAUGGGUAAGAGUUUAUAAUACUAAAUAAUAAUUUAGAUGCA